rnacentral:rRNA from 1 species
UGGGGAAUAUUGCACAAUGGGGGAAACCCUGAUGCAGCGACGCCGCGUGAACGAAGAAGGUAUUCGUAUCGUAAAGUUCUGUCCUAUGGGAAGAUAAUGACAGUACCAUAGAAGAAAGCUCCGGCUAAAUACGUGCCAGCAGCCGCGGUAAUACGUAUGGAGCGAGCGUUGUCCGGAAUUAUUGGGCGUAAAGGGUACGCAGGCGGUUUAAUAAGUCGAAUGUUAAAGAUCGGGGCUCAACCCCGCAAAGCAUUGGAAACUGAUAAACUUGAGUAGUGGAGAGGAAAGUGGAAUUCCUAGUGUAGUGAUGAAAUACGUAGAUAUUAGGAGGAAUACCAGUAGCGAAGGCGACUUUCGGACACAAACUGACGCUGAGGUACGAAAGCGUGGGGAGCAAACAGG